GGGUUGUGAGGUUAAGCGACUAAGCGUACACGGUGGAUGCCCUGGCAGUCAGAGGCGAUGAAGGACGUGCUAAUCUGCGAUAAGCGCCGGUAAGGUGAUAUGAACCGUUAUAACCGGCGAUUUCCGAAUGGGGAAACCCAGUGUGAUUCGUCACACUAUCAUUAACUGAAUCCAUAGGUUAAUGAGGCGAACCGGGGGAACUGAAACAUCUAAGUACCCCGAGGAAAAGAAAUCAACCGAGAUUCCCCCAGUAGCGGCGAGCGAACGGGGAGGAGCCCAGAGCCUGAAUCAGCAUGUGUGUUAGUGGAAGCGUCUGGAAAGGCGCGCGAUACAGGGUGACAGCCCCGUACACAAAAGCGCAUGUGCUGUGAGCUCGAUGAGUAGGGCGGGACACGUGGUAUCCUGUCUGAAUAUGGGGGGACCAUCCUCCAAGGCUAAAUACUCCUGACUGACCGAUAGUGAACCAGUACCGUGAGGGAAAGGCGAAAAGAACCCCGGCGAGGGGAGUGAAAAAGAACCUGAAACCGUGUACGUACAAGCAGUGGGAGCACCCUUCGGGGUGUGACUG
rnacentral:rRNA from 1 species